CAGGGAAAUAGUACUUUAAUUUAGAAGGUCUGGUUUGCAGCUAGGAAGUAAGCUAAUUCUAUUUCA
rnacentral:tRNA from 1 species